rnacentral:rRNA from 1 species
AUUGAACGCUGGCGGCCGGCCUAACACAUGCACGUCGAGCGAGCGGCGGACGGGUGAGUAAUGUAUGGGGACUGCCCGAUAGAGGGGGAUAACUACUGGAAACGGUGGCUAAUACCGCAUACUAUCGUAUCACCCAUAUCGGAUUAGCUAGUAGGUGGGGUAAAGGCGAAACUAGGAGACGAUAUCUAGCUGGUCUGAUAGGAUGAUCAGCGACACUGGGACUGAGACAAGGCCCAGAUUCCGACGGAGGCAGCAGUGGGGAAUAUUGCACAAUGGGCGAAAGCCUGAUGCAGCCAUGCCGAGUGUAUGAAGAAGGACUGAGGGUUGGAAAGUACUUUCAGCAGGGAGGCGUUACCCGCAGAAGAAGCACCGGCUAACUCCGUGCCAGCAGCCGCGGUAAUAC